UGAGGAAUCUUCGUCAAUGGGCGCAAGCCUGAACGAGCGACGCCGCGUGCGGGAUGACGCGUUUCGGCGUGUAAACCGCUUUUCUGGGGGACGAGACAGGACGGUACCCCAGGAAUAAGCCUCGGCUAACUACGUGCCAGCAGCCGCGGUAAUACGUAGGAGGCAAGCGUUGUCCGGAGUUACUGGGCGUAAAGCGUGGGCAGGCGGCUCGUCGCAUCGGGGAUGAAAUCUCCCGGCUCAACUGGGAGGGGGUUUCCGAGAUGGACGGGCUUGAGGACUGGAGAGGGAAGUAGAACUCCCGGUGGACCGGUGAAAUGGGUAGAGAUCGGGAAGAAUACCAGAGGGGCAACCGGCUUCCUGGCCAGGACCUGACGCUCAGCCACGAAAGCUUGGGGAGCAAACAGGAUUAGAUACCCCUGUAGUCC
rnacentral:rRNA from 1 species